GUCCCCAUAGCGUAAUUGGAUAACGCAACUCCCUCCUAAGGAGUAGAUUACAGGUUCGACUCCUGUUGGGGACACUA
rnacentral:tRNA from 1 species